UUAUUGUUGCAGGUGUCGGAAUUAUUCCGAUGAAAAGGGAAACAGGUGAAAAUCCUGUGCGAACUCGUCACUGUAAGCAGAGAAUUUAUUUUCACAUGUGCCACUGAGAAAUCGGGAAGGCGAAAAUGAGUAUUGAGCUGUAAGUCAGGAGACCUGCCUGCAGAU
rnacentral:ncRNA from 1 species